AAGGUUCUAUCUUAAUUAAAGAGAGGGAUUUGCAUUCCCUGGAUGUGGGUUACACCCCCGCGGACCUUA
rnacentral:tRNA from 1 species